rnacentral:sRNA from 1 species
GGCUCCUUCUCUACACAUCCCUUUGCCUGCCUGCCUGUGCCAGGGGCUGUCAAGGGCUUUUGGGUCAGAGUGGGCACCCCUUUCUCCAAGGCUCCCUGCAACAGCUGGCCUGUCCCUGGUGGGGCUUACAGCUUCCUUCUCUCCCUGCCAGGCUGCCCAAGUGCCAGAGGUGACCUAUGAGGCAGAAGAGGGCUCCUUGUGGACAUUGCUACUCACUAGCUUGGAUGGGCACCUGCUGGAGCCGGAUGCUGAGUACCUCCACUGGCUGCUAACCAACAUCCCGGGUAACCGGGUGGCUGAAGGACGGGUGACGUGUCCCUACCUCCCCCCCUUCCCUGCCCGAGGCUCCGGCAUCCACCGUCUUGCCUUCCUGCUCUUCAAGCAGGACCAGCCGAUUGACUUCUCCGAGGAUGCACGCCCCUCACCCUGCUAUCAGCUGGCCCAGCGGACCUUCCGCACUUUUGAUUUCUACAAGAAAUACCAAGAAGCCAUGACUCCAGCCGGCUUGUCCUUCUUCCAGUGCCGCUGGGAUGACUCCGUAACCUACAUCUUCCACCAGCUUCUGG